CCUACGGGUGGCAGCAGUGGGGGAUAUUGCACAAUGGGGGGAACCCUGAUGCAGCGACGCCGCGUGGGUGAAGAAGCGCCUCGGCGCGUAAAGCUCUAUCAGCAGGGAAGAAAAUGACGGUACCUGACGAAGAAGCCCCGGCUAACUACGUGCCAGCAGCCGCGGUAAUACGUAGGGGGCAAGCGUUAUCCGGAUUUACUGGGUGUAAAGGGAGCGCAGACGGCGCUGCAAGUCAGGUGUGAAAGCCCGGGGCCCAACCCCGGGACUGCUCUUGGAACUGGGUGGCUGGAGUGCAGGAGGGGUAGGCGGAAUUCCUGGUGUAGCGGUGAAAUGCGUAGAUAUUAGGAGGAACACCGGUGGCGAAGGCGGCCUGCUGGACUGCAACUGACGUUGAGGCCCGAAAGCGUGGGGAGCAAACAGGAUUAGAUACCCGUGUAGUC
rnacentral:rRNA from 1 species